rnacentral:rRNA from 1 species
CCGCCUACGGGGGGCAGCAGUGAGGAAUAUUGGUCAAUGGGCUUACGCCUGAACCAGCCAAGUCGCGUGAGGGAAGACUGCCCUAUGGGUUGUAAACCUCUUUUGUCAGGGAGCAACGCCGGCUACGUGUAGCCGGACUGAGAGUACCUGAAGAAAAAGCAUCGGCUAACUCCGUGCCAGCAGCCGCGGUAAUACGGAGGAUGCGAGCGUUAUCCGGAUUUAUUGGGUUUAAAGGGCGUGUAGCCGGGCUUACAAGUCAGAUGUGAAAUCCGGGGGCUCAACCCCCGAACUGCAUUUGAAACUGU